rnacentral:rRNA from 1 species
UACGAAGGGGGCUAGCGUUGCUCGGAAUCACUGGGCGUAAAGCGCACGUAGGCGGAUUGCUAAGUCAGGGGUGAAAUCCUGGAGCUCAACUCCAGAACUGCCUUUGAUACUGGCGAUCUUGAGUCCGGGAGAGGUGAGUGGAACUGCGAGUGUAGAGGUGAAAUGCGUAGAGAUGUGGAGGAACACCAAUGGCGAAGGCAGCCUUCUGGGCCAACACUGACGCUCAUGCACGAAAGCGUGGGGAGCAAACAGG